rnacentral:rRNA from 1 species
GACGAACGCUGGCGGCGUGCUUAACACAUGCAAGUCGAACGCUGAAGCUCAGCUUUUGUUGGGUGGAUGAGUGGCGAACGGGUGAGUAACACGUGAGUAACCUGCCUCCUUCUUUGGGAUAACGCCCGGAAACGGGUGCUAAUACUGGAUAUUCACUGGUCUUCGCAUGGGGGUUGGUGGAAAGGGUUUUUCUGGUGGGGGAUGGGCUCGCGGCCUAUCAGCUUGUUGGUGGGGUGAUGGCCUACCAAGGCUUUGACGGGUAGCCGGCCUGAGAGGGUGACCGGUCACAUUGGGACGGAGAUACGGCCCAGAGUCCGACGGGAGGCAGCAGUGGGGAAUAUUGCACAAUGGGCGCAAGCCUGAUGCAGCGACGCCGCGUGAGGGCUGGAGGCCUUCGGGUUGUGAACCUCUUUCGCUCAUGGUCAAGCCGCAACAAUGGUUGUGGUGAGGGUAGUGGGUAAAGAAGCGCCGGCUAACUACGUG